CCUACGGGAGGCAGCAGUGGGGAAUAUUGGGCAAUGGGCGCAAGCCUGACCCAGCAACGCCGCGUGAAGGAAGAAGGCUUUCGGGUUGUAAACUUCUUUUAAGAGGGAAGAGCAGAAGACGGUACCUCUUGAAUAAGCCACGGCGAACUACGUGACAGCAGCCGCGGUAAUUGGGAGCAGGCAAGCGUUGUCCGGAUUUACUGGGUGUCAAGGUCGUGCAGCGGGGAAGACAAGUCAGCUGUGAACUCCCGAGGCUCAACCGCGGACCUGCAGUUGAAACUGUUUUUCUGGAGUACCGGAGAGGUCAUCGGAAUGCCUUGUGUAGCGGUGAAAUGCGUAGAUAUAAGGAAGAACACCAGUGGCGCGGGCGGAUGACUGGGCGGCAACUGACGGUGAGGCGCGAAAGCGUGGGGAGCAAACAGGAUUAGAUACCCGAGUAGUC
rnacentral:rRNA from 1 species